AAUACGUUUUUAUUCAAAAACGGCAAUCUUACGUCAUCGACCAAUCAGAAGCGAGCGUUGGUAAUGGCCGCUCGCACAUUAUUGUACGGAGAUUUUAAUACGUUUUUAGUGUUAUUUUAAUUACAAUUAAGUGAUUGAAGGUGUAAAGUUAUAAUGGAGUCAAGCCCUAGCCUUGUUACUAAUAAAUUUGCAAGAAAACGCAAACGAGAUCCCGAAAAUUGGUCAAGAAACCAAGCUAAGAUAUUGAGAUAUUCCCCAAUAUCAACGCCAGAAAAAGUUUGUAACCAUAACUCUAAGGCGCUUAAGUGUGAUACACUGACAAUGUCGCAAAUGAAAAAAUUAGUAAUAAAGAUAAAUUAUCAGAUGUGAAGAAGCUGUUGUGCAAACAUUUUGGUGCUGAGUG